UUUCUCUCAUAUUACUAAUAA
rnacentral:piRNA from 1 species